UUGGUUUGUUUCGGGUGGUUGGCUCUCUGCUUUUGCAACAACUUCCACCUAGCAUUCCUUUUCAGUUGUGCGUCAAAAUUUUAACCUUAUGCGCUUAUGGUUUCUUGUGUUGCCUACCUGUGUGACGGUAUUGAUUUAUUUUGUCUCUCAUUUUGUCUCUGCGUUGUACGUGGCGUAGGACGAACCUUAAAGCAAUUUCUGUGAUCCACCUUGUUGAUGCGCAUGCGUCGACGUUGUGGCCCGUUGAGCUUGCUUGGUGUCUUGGAUACAUAACAUGAUUUGGGAGAGGGACUCUGCGAGCGUUCUUUGCCCUUGUUGAACGCUGUUUAUGUCUCUGUAACGACUGCCUAGCCCGAAUUGGCUCGUACAACCGGGUAGGUUUUGUUGUUAAAGAGUAAUUCUAGCGUUCUUGCUUCUCUAAAACGAACGGCCUUACCUGCAUGGGCUUGUACCAGCGGGUGGGCUAUGUCGAAGAGGGAUGCUACCUGGUUGAUCCUGCCAGUAGUCAUAUGCUUGUCUCAA
rnacentral:misc_RNA from 1 species